GUGAGUUCAAUUACAAUCCUAGAAAAAGAAAUUUAGCUACUCAUAAUUGCAAAGACAAUAACAUUGUAUAAAAUUCAACCAUUGAAAGUAACAAGAAAAAUAAAAGCCAAGGAAGAAAAUAAAACAAUAUUUGCCGCCUUGAUCUCCAAGUUUCAGCCUUAACUCCUAGCUUAUUGAAUCUCUCAAAAGUUGUCUCCCCUAAUGUUCUUCAAACUAUCCUAUUUAUACUAAUAACUUAACCUAUACUUCCUUAAGUUGAACUAGGGUUUAAUUGGGCUUAAAAGUGUAAUGAGAGGCCCAAAAAUCAACUGUUAGUCGUUACAAAUUUUCAUUCCCGAUACAGUACAUCUAGCCAUUUUUUGACAUGAUUUUCUCUAUCUUCAAAGCAGAAUUAGGUAAAGUGAUCUCAUGAAAGUUGUAGCUCUAUCUCCUAGCUUUCCAAUGGUCUAAGAAUCGCAUCAUUUGGAGUUUUGUAGCAUGAGUUAUGGCCAAAACACUGAAGUAUAUGCAAGCAAACUUUGGGUCUUUCAACACCUUACUUUUCAAAAUUAAGUCCAACUCUUUUAGUUCCUAUGAAAAAUAUAAAAACUAAUAAAGAAUAACCAAAUUAAAAAGCAUAACAUAAAAUUAAAAUACAUCACUAAAAUUAUAAACUAAUUAUAAAAAUAAUUAGAAAUAAAUAAAUUAUAAUUGAAAAUUGAGGAUUUAGCUAAUAUUUAAUAACAAAAUUGGACUAAAAUAAUUCUAUAAAAUAGAAUUAUCAUAUUAUCAAAAUGAACUUUCAUUACAAAUUCAAUGAAAUUAAGCAUGAGAAUAUUCUUACUUUCCAAGGCGCCAUAUUCUCAAAAUUCCUAACAGGAAGUGGUGCUUGCUAAUGCUAAAUUAGAGAAUGAGCAUAUGAGGAAUAAGUGUUAAUUGUAUUUGUGGGUCGGUGGGGUGGUGUUUUAUUUUUUAAUGAAUUUGUCAACUUGAAAUGUUAGAGAGUUGUGUAGGCGGAAAAGAAGAGCGAUCAGAAAAUUAAUUUAACAAGUUAAGCCAUAUGUGGUGUUUAUUCCAAAAACAAAGUUAAAAAGAUAUUUGAAGAACUUGUUUGAGUCAAUUUGGAGUAGUGAUCAAGUUACCAGUUUAUUUAUGGAAUCGGAUGAUAAGUUAGGUGGGUUAAUUUUGAUGUGGCAUGAGGAUUAUUUUAGUGUGGAGGAUCAUUUAUGUCAUAAGAACUAUAUAUUGGCAAUGGACAAGGUACAAGGUUUCUCUCUCUUGUGUGGAUUUUUUAACAUAUAUACUUUUUUUCAUAAGGUAGGGAAGAUACUUUUUUGGGAUGAAUUAUUGCAGAUAAUGGGUAGGUAUGAUAUUUGGUGGUGCAUGGGUGGGGAUUUUAAUUACGUUUGUGGUGAUGAUGAGAGAAUAGGUAGGAUUGAUGCAGCUCGUUUUACUAUUGAUUUUAUUGACUUCAUACAUAAUGCGAGAUUGGUGGACUUACCUAUGUCCAAAGAUAG
rnacentral:lncRNA from 1 species